UCCAUGAACCACAUAUUGCAGAAGAGGACUUCUUACAUGAUGCAGAUGCAGACGCAGAUGCUGAAAAAGAUGAAGAACAACAGCCGGCUGAUCGAAACGCUAUCCAGCAUUUGGAUACUAAUGAUGAGGAGGAAGAUGCAGAAUCCCAGGAACUGGAAGAUUCACCAGAACCUCAAGUUCGUAGAUCUUCAAGAGUUAGAAGAAAACCAACAUGGAUGAACACAGGCCAAUUUCUGGUAAAUCAACACGUAGCAGAAACAAGUUGGAGAGACAAAGCUGAAUUCCUUCUGAAAGUAACUAAAGAACCGGCUUUGAAAGACCAUCGUGAUAAACUUUUGGAUGGACUUUUAAAAGUUAUUGUGAAAUAGACUUUCAUAUUCUUUUAAACCAGCAAAAUGAUGGGACAUCAUUUUCAAGCAGGGGGGAGAGUGUAAUAGGGUGCAUUUUAUGAUAAUUACAUUCAUGCAUAUUAUUCAUAUUUCAUCAUCAUCAUCUUACAUUCCAUAUUUUACAUGUACAUAUUUAGAAACAGACUAAUAUCCCUAUAACUCCCUGUCUUUUAUGCAUCUAUCAAGUAAUCAUUACUUAAUUACCUUUUCUAGUGGUUUCUAAUAUUUUAUAGCCUUAAGUCAUUUCACCUGUAUGGUCACUUACAUACAUGUGGACAGGAUCAGGUGGUUUACUUAGCCAAUAGUAUGUUUUUAUGAUUUUUUCCCGCUUUAACUGAGUAGCCUUUGUGACAGACCAAGGCUAGUAUUCCUAGGAGUAAGACCUAAUUUCUUCAAGAGACGAUUUCACUUAUUUAUUUAUUUCAUCAACAUAUUUGAAGCAGUCAUUUAUAUUAGAGACUACCAUUGUCAGAGUAAUCUGCAGGAUUGUGCAUGAAACCUUUUUCCAUAAACAGGGUUUAAAUCCUUUAUCCGAAUAAAUGAAGAACCCUUAAAGUGGACUUGUUUAAUUCUUGGGACAACCCACUAUCACAUUUGGCGCCCACGUUGGGACCCGGGUAUUCUCUGGCGGGUGAGAGAGAUUGUUUCUAGAACUUUGCCCCACAGGCAUUGGCACUCCAGGAGAGUCGGGACGCCUCUUUCCUUGGAGGGGGACAAUGUGGUAGAGUCAGGUAUAUGGCAUUCCUACUAGCUCUGGCUAGCGGGUUAACCCUUUAGCUCGAUCGGUAGAGUGCUGGACUGGCGUGCCAGAGGACCUGGGUUCAAACCCCAGCAGAGGCAAAAACUGUCU